GUCACCAAAGUAGCAUCAAAUCUGAGGGAUACUUAUACCCAUACCCCAUCAGAGCAGCCCUUGACAGCAGAAUGCUUCGAAAGUGAUCAUGCUCAGUGAAAUGUACUCUUACAUAUCACUCGUAUGUCAUAUCCAUGUCACCAUACGUUUUGAUUAAAAGGACAACCAACUAAGAUGACAUACAAUAACUUACACUCGAUAUAAUUAUCGUUCUUGUAAUAAUUGUAUCAUUUGGUCACGAGCA
rnacentral:lncRNA from 1 species